rnacentral:misc_RNA from 1 species
GGCUGGUUCAAAUCAGUAACAGGUACUCCCACAUCAUUAAGAUUAAACUGAUGUGGCAUAGCAUCCUGCCAGUGCCACAUUGAUGGAACCAUUUCAGGAACUGAAAAGGGGAUUUUCUUCUUCCAGACUGUUACCACUGCCCUGAGAGCUAGGAGAUGCAACAUUAGCAACAUUUUUCUUCAUAGCAGCAAUCUUUUUCACACCCUCUCUUAAAGCACUGAUUGCCAAAUUAUAGGUCUCAACAGCAAUUGACCCUUCUUCUGCAUAUUUAAUAGCUUCCAUACAUAGAUUGUUAAAGCGUGAGGUCAGGGUUUCA